ensembl:lncRNA
GUUAGCAGUGUCAAUCUGUUGAGGAUAAGAACUGUUUUAGGUAAUCCACAGUUACAUUCAAACGCACAUAUAAAUAGUCCUCCAGUGUAUCACAUGUCCCUGUAAAACAUUGUGCAAUCCAAACGAACAGUGGUCCUUUAUGUAAUGCCUUUCUUUCUUUAUAACUAGUGUUAAUAAAUAAGCUUUAGCCUUUGUCUUUGCUUAUAGACAUCAAGAAUCUGAUUUCAAGCCAGGGCUCACACAGACUUGAUGUAAAGUCUAAAUGAGGAGAGUGGUAAUGCUGGCGAAUGCGCUGCGAUGGGACCGCCACCUGUCUGGAUUGCAGGAGAAAUAUUGUUUGUCAAGCUUCAAGUUUAAAUCCAAGUAACUGUGGACAGCUGACGGGAAGCAACUGUGAAUCGAUCCUGGGAAUGAACAUUUGAGUCAUUUGGCUGGUUUAUGUCUCCUGUGUAGAGGUGUAGCUUCACAAAAUGCCUACUGCCUGCAGGAAGAACUCCCUCCGAACAGAUUCUCUACCUGAGCAUCAGGGAAGGAAAUAAAUCUGGAACUGGUGACAUUUCAAGGACAAGGAAAACAACCGCUCGGAGAAUUAUCUGAUUCCGUUGGUGUUUAUUUUUACUUAUAUCUAGCAAUCUGCGCUCCAACAGAAGAUGCUUAUUUGCAGAAAAGAAGGCUGUCUCCUGUCUGGACUGGUGCCUGGUCUGGAGAAAAGAUGGCACUAAGGACAAGAGCAAUGAAACAGGAGGAGCUC